rnacentral:tRNA from 1 species
GGCUCCAUAGCUUGGAGAAGAAAAGUGCCCGUCUAGCGAAUUGGAAAUCGUGGGUUCGGUUCCCACUGGAGCAC